CGCUUCCUUCCGCCCGCCGGGUCCGCUCCGCUGCCGCCGUGGGAAACUCGCCGGACAGGUAGGGCAGCUAAAUUGCAGUUUGUUAGAAGUGGCUCAAAACGAUCGAAGAAAAACUGUCAUCAAAUUAUACUUUCUAUUGGAAUUAGUAUUUAUUGAUUGGUGUGUUCCAAGCCCUACAGACACAUUAGUGAAC